rnacentral:rRNA from 1 species
AAAUUGAAGAGUUUGAUCAUGGCUCAGAUUGAACGCUGGCGGCAGGCCUAACACAUGCAAGUCGAGCGGUAGCACAGAGAGCUUGCUCUCGGGUGACGAGCGGCGGACGGGUGAGUAAUGUCUGGGAAACUGCCUGAUGGAGGGGGAUAACUACUGGAAACGGUAGCUAAUACCGCAUAAUGUCGCAAGACCAAAGUGGGGGACCUUCGGGCCUCAUGCCAUCAGAUGUGCCCAGAUGGGAUUAGCUAGUAGGUGGGGUAACGGCUCACCUAGGCGACGAUCCCUAGCUGGUCUGAGAGGAUGACCAGCCACACUGGAACUGAGACACGGUCCAGACUCCUACGGGAGGCAGCAGUGGGGAAUAUUGCACAAUGGGCGCAAGCCUGAUGCAGCCAUGCCGCGUGUGUGAAGAAGGCCUUCGGGUUGUAAAGCACUUUCAGCGGGGAGGAAGGCGGUGAGGUUAAUAACCUCACCGAUUGACGUUACCCGCAGAAGAAGCACCGGCUAACUCCGUGCCAGCAGCCGCGGUAAUACGGAGGGUGCAAGCGUUAAUCGGAAUUACUGGGCGUAAAGCGCACGCAGGCGGUCUGUCAAGUCGGAUGUGAAAUCCCCGGGCUCAACCUGGGAACUGCAUUCGAAACUGGCAGGCUAGAGUCUUGUAGAGGGGGUAGAAUUCCAGGUGUAGCGGUGAAAUGCGUAGAGAUCUGGAGGAAUACCGGUGGCGAAGGCGGCCCCCUGGACAAAGACUGACGCUCAGGUGCGAAAGCGUGGGGAGCAAACAGGAUUAGAUACCCUGGUAGUCCACGCCGUAAACGAUGUCGAUUUGGAGGUUGUGCCCUUGAGGCGUGGCUUCCGGAGCUAACGCGUUAAAUCGACCGCCUGGGGAGUACGGCCGCAAGGUUAAAACUCAAAUGAAUUGACGGGGGCCCGCACAAGCGGUGGAGCAUGUGGUUUAAUUCGAUGCAACGCGAAGAACCUUACCUGGUCUUGACAUCCACAGAACUUUCCAGAGAUGGAUUGGUGCCUUCGGGAACUGUGAGACAGGUGCUGCAUGGCUGUCGUCAGCUCGUGUUGUGAAAUGUUGGGUUAAGUCCCGCAACGAGCGCAACCCUUAUCCUUUGUUGCCAGCGGUUAGGCCGGGAACUCAAAGGAGACUGCCAGUGAUAAACUGGAGGAAGGUGGGGAUGACGUCAAGUCAUCAUGGCCCUUACGACCAGGGCUACACACGUGCUACAAUGGCAUAUACAAAGAGAAGCGACCUCGCGAGAGCAAGCGGACCUCAUAAAGUAUGUCGUAGUCCGGAUUGGAGUCUGCAACUCGACUCCAUGAAGUCGGAAUCGCUAGUAAUCGUAGAUCAGAAUGCUACGGUGAAUACGUUCCCGGGCCUUGUACACACCGCCCGUCACACCAUGGGAGUGGGUUGCAAAAGAAGUAGGUAGCUUAACCUUCGGGAGGGCGCUUACCACUUUGUGAUUCAUGACUGGGGUGAAGUCGUAACAAGGUAACCGUAGGGGAACCUGCGGUUGGAUCACCUCCUUA